AAAUGGUCAGAAGUUGUGUGCUUUUAGUUGAUUUUUUUUCUGGGAGUGUGCUUCUAUGUAGUUCUGCGAGAAUGAAAGUCGUGCGACUAAGGAACAAACGGUUCAUCAGUACUUAAAAUGCUGUGCAGGUUUGCUGCUUUUGUAAUCCUGCUACGAGAAUUUGUUUGUUCAUUUUAUGUAUUUUGCUCAUGGUGUUUCUCAUAAUUACCAUCAGCUGUUUCUGUAGCAGGUCUAGAGAUCCAAAUUGCUUUCAUUUUCACCGCUCGUGCCUGGAGGUAAAAGAGGAUAUGUAUGUACAUCUGUAAACUGUGAUGAUAGGUCAUAUUAUUCUGCCAUGCUGAUUUACAAUUGUAAUUAGCUUCUUUUUUUCAUUUUUCAUUUUCCUUUUUUCCCCGGGUUUCUGGGCGCGUGGUAGCUCUGACUUUGUUUUCUUGAUUUGGAGUCAGAAAGAAGGACGAAGAAUGAAAUGCUGAUUUCUAUUGUAGUUUGAAGAAGUAACGGAAAAGGCAGAAUGACUUAAAUGACACCUAUACAUGUACCACUUUGUCAUGUCGGUCCUCUUAUUUCACUUUUUUUUCAUCUAGACAUUUUAACUUGUUCAAAAUUAAUAUUUUAAACCCCUCUGACUGACCAAGCACAUGUGUCAAAAUAAUGGUUGAGCUGGACAAAGUGGGUGUAAUUCACACGAAUAAGGAGCAUGAAUAUGAAUAUUUUGAACCAGAAAUAAUUAAAAUAAAAAGAAAAAAAUCAUUAAAAUAAGAAUAAAAAAUAAAUAAGAAAAAAAGAAGCAAAAGGGAUAUUCUGUU
rnacentral:lncRNA from 1 species